ensembl:snRNA U5 U5 spliceosomal RNA
AUACUCUGGUUUCUCUUCAGAUCUCAUAAAUCUUUUGCCUUUUACUAAAGAUUUCCAUGGAGAGGAACAGUUAUGAGUUUUUACUCACUUUUUUGAGGCCUUGUUUUUAUGAAGCAA